rnacentral:rRNA from 1 species
CCCGCACAAGCAGCGGAGCAUGUGGUUUAAUUCGAAGCAACGCGAAGAACCUUACCAGAUCUUAACAUCCAAUUGACCAUCUUUUAAUCGAGAUUUUUGCCUUCGGGUACAAUUGAGACAGGUGGUGCAUGGUUGUCGUCAGCUCGUGUCGUGAGAUGUUGGGUUAAGUCCCGCAACGAGCGCAACCCCUAUCAUUAGUUGCCAUCAGGUCAAGCUGGGGACUCUAAUGAAACUGCCUACGCAAGUAGUGAGGAAGGUGGGGAUGACGUCAAAUCAGCACGGCCCUUACGUCCAGGGCUACACACGUGCUACAAUGGCCGGUACAAAGGGCAGCUACCUGGUGACAGGAUGCUAAUCUCAAAAGCCGGUCUCAGUUCGGAUCGGAGUCUGCAACCCGACUCCGUGAAGCUGGAUUCGCUAGUAAUCGCGCAUCAGCCACGGCGCGGUGAAUACGUUCCCGGGCCUU